rnacentral:misc_RNA from 1 species
UUAAGUUCAGCGGGUAUCCCUACCUGAUCCGAGGUCAAAAGUGAAAAAAGGCUUGUGGAAGCUGGCGUAUAGCCUUGAAUCGCGACUUGUGCUGCGCUUCAAAACCAAAACACUGGCUGCCAAUUACUUUAAGGCGAGUCCCUCUGCAAGAGAAAGGACAAACACCCAACACAAGCAGAGCUUGAAGGUACAAAUGACGC